rnacentral:rRNA from 1 species
GACGAACGCUGGCGGCGCGCUUAAUACAUGCAAGUCGAGCGAGAACCAGGGCUUCGGCCCUGGGGACAGCGGCGAACGGGUGAGUAACACGUGGGUAAUCAACCCCCGACACCGGGAUAGCCCAGGGAAACUUGGAUUAAUACCGGAUGCCCCAUCUGGCUUUCGAGCCGGCUGGAAAAGGGUAGCUUCGGCCUCCGGUCGGGGACGAGCUCGCGGCGGAUUAGCUUGUUGGGGGGGUAAAGGCGCACCAAGGCGACGAUCCGUAGCUGGUCUGAGAGGACGAUCAGCCACACUGGGACUGAGACACGGCCCAGACUCCUACGGGAGGCAGCAGUAGGGAAUCUUGCGCAAUGGGCGAAAGCCUGACGCAGCGACGCCGCGUGAGGGAAGAAGGCCUUCGGGUUGUAAACCUCUUUCAGGAGGGACGAAGCCACUCGGGUUAAUAGCCUAGAGGGUGACGGUACCUCCAGAAGAAGCCCCGGCUAACUACGUGCCAGCAGCCGCCGUAACAC